rfam:Ovis aries breed Texel chromosome 3, whole genome shotgun sequence.
GGCUGUGUGGCCUAAUGGAUAAGGCUUCUGAUUCUGGAUCAGAAGAUUGAAGGUUCAAGUCCAUUCAUGGCCG